CUCAGCCUUCAGGAAGCCGGCGACAAAAGGGAAGGAUAAACCGAAACAUCACGAACCAGGAAAAUAAGAAAAGAAAAAAUCGUAGGUUAACUGUUUUCACUCAAACUGUGGAGGCCUAGGAUAUGAUGCCAGCUAAAUCUGAUGUGAAAAGAGUCUGGAACUAAAUGUGACCUGCAUGGAGCUGACAUCUUACUCCAGUUCUGUUCUGCUGUGCUCACCAUCAGCUUCCUGUGGAUGUGAAAGAACAGGCACACAAAACAAACCUACAGCUGCUGUUCAGCAAAAUCUCUUUCAAAGUGAUCCAGCUGCAAAAGGGUGUCAAGGACCUCCCCUUAAACCAAAGCGGGAGCACUGACAUCUGCUGUUUGGCAGGAGCUGAUUCCGCUGGAUGUAGACUCUCCAUUGAGAAAUGUGUGGGAAAACAUUGACACUCUGUGGCCAGAGAGAUAAAAUACAACUUCUGAAAUUUCAUGAUUUUUCAUUGCUUUCUUCCAUUUUACCAGACAGAAAUGUAGUAAAGAACAGUUUGUAGCUUUUAUUCUUGUUGCUAAUUUCCAGUAUCUUUUCAGUAAAUUUUGUUUAUAAAAUGUCCUAAACAGGCAAGCUAAGACAAAAAGUACGAACAAAUGAUAAAACAAAACCUUGCAUCCAAACCUCCUGAAUCUGAGGAGCACUGAGAGUGAGACUCCACUGUUGCUCUGGAGCCUGGGAAGUCAUACAAAGUGCAUUUUCAGGUCCAUGCUUGCAGUGUCAUUUCAUCUCACUUUCUUCCUCUGGAACUGGAACGAGGGAAGGCCACCUUAAAGGGAACUGGAUUUGUGUAUUGCAAAGCAGAAUUUCCUCCAGACUAAUCUGGAGAGAUGAACCUCGUCAGUAUACCUCCAAGGUAUCAUUUUUACUUCCCAUAGAAGUAACAGUUAUUACCUAUAUUAUAUUUAGUGCCGAUAGGAGUAGAGUUAAGCAUCAUUACAUAAUUUCUGUAGGGCUUCCUCUUGAUAGAAACCAAAGGAAUACUAAAAAAAAAAACCAAAAAAAGCCAGUCCUUGCUUCAUGGCUUUUACAUUCAACAGAUGGAGGAGCAAAUACUAGGAUACGGGAGCCUUUUUUUGGCACACAUAACACUGAUAUUUUUGUAAUCGUACACAUUUUUUGCUCUUUUUUCUUUUUCUCUUCAACUAGAAACAUUAAUAAUAAUGAAGGAUUGAGCUUAAGGCCUUUCACGGUAGUCAGAGCUGUAUUUUAAUUAGUUUCUAAGGUGAAAACGACAUGUAUGCAGUAUGUGGCAUAGAUGAGUGUAUGACCUAAGCUGGGAUAGAGACCAACCAUAAGAAGAGCUAAUGAAUAGUAUCAGGAAAGGGAAUGAUGGUGUCAGGAUAGGUAAGGAUGCCAGAGAAGCUUAGUUUUGAGUUGUCCAGAGGAGACAAAGCUAAGAUGUUAGGAGUCAAGGAGGAAGAGAUCUGUAAAUUUAAGACAUAAGAAGAAGGACCUGGAAUGAGAGUUUCAGUGACAUAGACAGAAAAAUACAGAGCCCUGCCAAUUUAUGUGGGAAAAACUAAAACAACUUGGGUAGCACUUGAAUAAGUAAGUCUAGAGAAAGGACCAGCAUCCUGGUAAAAUUAUAAACAGCUUUGGAAAUUAUAAAUUCAGAGACUAGAGUAACAAUAUUUAUGAAAACUGUUCUACAGUCGUAUACAAAAGACAUAGUAAUUCAAAUAGGAAUCAAAGCAAGGCAAAUAAUUUUCAUUUCCUCAUCAUCCUGCUGUUGAAGCACCUGCCAGCUAAGGGAUGAGAACAUGAGGGUAAAAAGUCUUUGCUCUGUGCCAUAUUUCUCCACAUUCACCUUGUUGUCAGGGUGCAAUGCAGGGAGUUAUGGCAGGGUCUGGUGGUCAGGACCUGUCCCACUGUCCCCAGCCAGAAAGCGGGCAGGCUGGGGGGGAUACAGGGCCACCCCCAGCCCUUGCCAUCAGGCAUCUGUGCUGGGCAGGACUUCACACCUGUGGGCAUGUUUGUAUCCUAGUGGCUGCCAUCCUCCAGCAUAGGGGUGGGUCCCAGCAGGGCAGACAGGUGGGGACUGAGACAAGGACCAAGCUUCCUCCCUUGAGAACUGACAUGGCAUCAGUGAGGGUGUAGCAGGUGACUUGUUGUGCUUUCCAGCUAGAGUCAUUCCCUACUGGGAAGAGUUAACUGUGGAAAGCACAAAGCUGAUAGCCUAUCUGCUGCCAGUUAUGCUACCAAAAGACAUUUUCCUUCACCAAAUGUUUGUCCCAGGAGGACACAUGAGGGGAAAACAAGGACCACAGGAUAAGCUGUGAGAAUAAUGUCCUAUUUCCAACCUCACUAGGAAUGCCCUGGAGGUACCAACACCUCUCCGAGUGCUUGACAGGCACCAGAAGGACAAGUACUUAACACCUGCUGUCUUUCGGUGUGUGAGUCUUGUCAUUCUGAACUUUAGGGUGUUGGUACAACUUUAAGCGAUCAUAUCUUGUCAAGAGACAUCACUGCAGGCAGGCUUUUCUAGGGCAUGUCGUAGCCUGUGGCUGUCUUGUGUAACUUUCAGACUAUGCUAAGCCAUGUUUCAAGCCUCUGGGAAUUCGUCUCGGGAGGAAGCAGCUUGCCUUCAGCUGCCAGCUCUCACAGCUACCCACUGACCCUGAUGGAACAGGCAGCUUCCUGGGCACGUGCCAAGUGAACUGGCAUGAGUCUGUUAGCAGGAGUGAGUUUCCUGCAGGCACACCUGAAAUCGGGGGCAGAACAAGAUGAAUGGAGCAGGAUGCAGAAAAGCAAAAGGCCAAACUUCUCUGAGCCUGAACCAUCGCAUUUGGCUUUGUUGUGGUUUUAGCCUGGGGCACUGGCUAGGUCAAAUCCAGUGAUCCCUGCAGGUCCACAAGGAACUCUCCUAGGCCAGACUAGGGGAAGUCCCAUUCAAGGUGGCUGCCAGCAGUAGCAGGUGUGCUCUCCAGGUCAAGACAUCUGCCUGUGUUCAGGGCCUCCUUCAGCUCCCAGCAGGCUUUCUCACCAGCUGCUGGUCUGAACAUCCCCUCCAUGGGUGGUCCUUCCAUGUGUGAUAUAAUGAGGAGAUCUUGCAGGAAACAUGAGCAGGACUGAGUGCAUGGUGGCUUUGGUGGCCUUUCUCAGAGACAGAAGCACAUCUGGAUGGGGAGGCACACUCUGCCUUUGCUGGACUGAGAUCUACUUGCUCAUUUGGAUGAACACUCACAGUAAGGACCAGAACCACACCUGUUAUUCCUGGCUCUGUGAAGGGUUGUUUCCCUGGAGCUGCCUUCCAAAGAGGUCGCACAGGUUUGAACAAAUGACAGUGAAUAGAGUGAUCAGGACAAAAUCCCUGUUAUUGGAAAAUUUGGGGCAUGGGAAGGAGGGGGCAUUCCUGUAUUAAUUACUAGUACUUAUUAUUGCUUUUUGGGAUGAAUAUCUAGGAAGCAGAGAAAUGCAUGCCUAAAAAACAGCAAACAAAUAAUUUGACUGAAAUUCUGUGAAACUAUAAAUGGGAUUAGCAUUGCUCCUGAGAAUUCGAGGAAAUGAAACACAAGACAAGAACAUUUAUUCCGUCCACAGAAAACACAGCUUGAAUAGGGGCUGUCCUUGUCUCUGAAUACAUCUGAAUUAUUUAGUA